rnacentral:rRNA from 1 species
GAUGAACGCUGGCGGCGUGCCUAAUACAUGCAAGUCGAGCGAACAGACGAGGAGCUUGCUCCUCUGACGUUAGCGUCGGACGUGUGAGUAACACGUGGAUAACCUACCUAUAAGACUGGGAUAACUUAGGGAAACCGGAGCUAAUACCGGAUAAUAUAUUGAACCGCAUGGUUCAAUAGUGAAAGACGGUUUUGCUGUCACUUAUAGAUGGAUCCGCGCCGCAUUAGCUAGUUGGUAAGGUAACGGCUUACCAAGGCAACGAUGCGUAGCCGACCUGAGAGGGUGAUCGGCCACACUGGAACUGAGACACGGUCCAGACUCCUACGGGAGGCAGCAGUAGGGAAUCUUCCGCAAUGGGCGAAAGCCUGACGGAGCAACGCCGCGUGAGUGAUGAAGGUCUUCGGAUCGUAAAACUCUGUUAUUAGGGAAGAACAAAUGUGUAAGUAACUAUGCACGUCUUGACGGUACCUAAUCAGAAAGCCACGGCUAACUACGUG